CCGUAGGUGAACCUGCGGAGGGAUCAUUACAGAGUUGCAAAACUCCCUAAACCAUUGUGAACGUUACCUUCAAACCGUUGCUUCGGCGGGCGGCCCGGGUCCGCCCGGUGCCCCCUGGCCCCCUAGCGGGGCGCCCGCCGGAGGAAAACCCAACUCUUGAUUAUUAUGGCCUCUCUGAGUCUUCUGUACUGAAUAAGUCAAAACUUUCAACAACGGAUCUCUUGGUUCUGGCAUCGAUGAAGAACGCAGCGAAAUGCGAUAAGUAAUGUGAAUUGCAGAAUUCAGUGAAUCAUCGAAUCUUUGAACGCACAUUGCGCCCGCCAGUAUUCUGGCGGGCAUGCCUGUUCGAGCGUCAUUUCAACCAUCAAGCCCCGCGCUUGUGUUGGGGACCUGCGGCUGCCGCAGGCCCUGAAAACCAGUGGCGGGCUCGCUGUCACACCGGGCGUAGUAGAUUUUAUCUCGCUCAGGGCGUGCUGCGGGUUCCGGCCGUUAAAAAGCCUUUUUUACCCAAGGUUGACCUCGGAUCAGGUAGGAAUACCCGCUGAACUUAAGCAUAUCAAUAAGCGGA
rnacentral:rRNA from 1 species